rnacentral:rRNA from 1 species
GAACAUACCUAUACGUUGCCUCGGCGGAUCAGCCCGCGCCCCGUAAAACGGGACGGCCCGCCCGAGGACCCCUAAACUCUGUUUUUAGUGGAACUUCUGAGUAAAACAAACAAAUAAAUCAAAACUUUCAACAACGGAUCUCUUGGUUCUGGCAUCGAUGAAGAACGCAGCAAAAUGCGAUAAGUAAUGUGAAUUGCAGAAUUCAGUGAAUCAUCGAAUCUUUGAACGCACAUUGCGCCCGCCAGUAUUCUGGCGGGCAUGCCUGUUCGAGCGUCAUUUCAACCCUCAAGCUCAGCUUGGUGUUGGGACUCGCGGUAACCCGCGUUCCCCAAAUCGAUUGGCGGUCACGUCGAGCUUCCAUAGCGUAGUAAUCAUACACCUCGUUACUGGUAAUCGUCGCGGCCACGCCGUAAAACCCCAACUUCUGAAUGUUGACCUCGGAUCAGGUAGGAAUACCCGCUGAACUUAAGCAUAUCAAUAAGCGGAGGAA